rnacentral:lncRNA from 1 species
CCAAAGUGCUGGGAUUACAGGCUUGAGCCACCGCGCCGGCCCAUAUUCACUUUCUAUUUACUCUCCUAGAACAACUUUCAGUUUCGCAAGCUUCAUUCAUGGGUUUUUCUGAACAUUUUCCAAGAAUGCUGAGGCAGAAGCUCUAUGAGAGAAUGACUAAUCCCAGGCAAUGUCCUUAUACCAUCAGCAGCGACUACCAAGGGUGGCGACGCUGGCUAGAAGCAGGGUGCAUUAUCCAUAGAGAAUUCAAAAGCAAUAAUAAAGCCUAUAAAAGUUAAUCUGCUUUUCAUUAUCACCAUGCAUGGCAAUUCUAAGUAAUAUCAAUGGUAAAAUAUUCCUCCCCCAAAACAUUGUGAAUUGAAGUUCUAAACAAUUG